GACGGAGGAUGCAAGCGUUAUCCGGAAUGAUUGGGCGUAAAGCGUCCGCAGGCGGCAGUUCAAGUCUGCUGUCAAAGACCGGGGCUCAACCUCGGAAAGGCAGUGGAAACUGAACAGCUAGAGUAUGGUAGGGGCAAAGGGAAUUCCUGGUGUAGCGGUGAAAUGCGUAGAGAUCAGGAAGAACAUCGGUGGCGAAGGCGCUUUGCUGGACCAUAACUGACACUCAGGGACGAAAGCUAGGGGAGCGAAUGGG
rnacentral:rRNA from 1 species